rnacentral:pre_miRNA from 1 species
GCAAACUGCAAACUCUGGAUUUCCGUGUCCAACUUUGACUGUUCGUCUUAUAUGAAAUUUUUUUAUAAUUCGUAUUUUCAUUGUUGUUAGAUGAUAAAACAUGAUUAAUAUUUUAUGCGUGACUUGUCUUUUUAAUUUUUUUCUAAUUUUUUCAAAUAAGACAGACGGUUAAACGUUGGACACGGAAACCAGGGUUUGUCUUUUU